GUUGAUCUAGAGAACCUAUCUACAGGUCAGAAUAAACCAGAGAAGAGUCACGUCUAGGAAGGAUGUUUGAAAUGUUACAUUAGGAGGCUGACAGCUGUUCCUUCCUGAGGUUUGGAGGUGAGAAUUAUUGACAUAACCCCAGUAUCAUGGAGCACUCCUCUCUGCAAGUGUAAAGUGCUGUGUGUUGUUUGAAGAACACUGCAUGUGCUAUCUUCCUCAGUACUAUUCUGGAGAAAGCAAGAGGACAUCACAGCUUG
rnacentral:lncRNA from 10 species